rnacentral:rRNA from 1 species
AUUCCAGCUCCAAUAGCGUAUAUUAAAGUUGUUGCAGUUAAAAAGCUCGUAGUUGGAUUUCUGGUGGGAGCGACCGGUCCGACGCUUAGCGUGGGUACUUGUGUCGUCUCCGGCCAUCCUUGGGGAGAGUCUGUCUGGCAUUAAGUUGUCGGGCAGAGGAUCCUCAUCGUUUACUGUGAAAAAAUUAGAGUGUUCAAAGCAGGCUUAUGCCGUUGAAUAUAUUAGCAUGGAAUAAUAAGAUAGGACUUUGGUACUAUUUUGUUGGUUUGCGCACCAAAGUAAUGAUUAAUAGGGACAGUUGGGGGUAUUCGUAUUCCGUUGUCAGAGGUGAAAUUCUUGGAUUUACGGAAGACGAACUACUGCGAAAGCAUUUACCAAGGAUGUUUUCAUUA